rnacentral:rRNA from 1 species
UACGGAGGAUGCGAGCGUUAUCCGGAUUUAUUGGGUUUAAAGGGUGCGUAGGCGGAUCGUUAAGUCAGUGGUCCAAUUGAGGGGCUCAACCCCUUCCCGCCAUUGAAACUGGCGAUCUUGAGUGGAAGAGAAGUAUGCGGAAUGCGUGGUGUAGCGGUGAAAUGCAUAGAUAUCACGCAGAACCCCGAUUGCGAAGGCAGCAUGCCGGCUUCCUACUGACGCUGAAGCACGAAAGCGUGGGGAUCGAACAGG